GCUGGGCACAGUGGAAUGUGCCUAUAGUCACAGCUACUUGGGAGGCUAAGGCAGGAGGAUUGCUUGAGCCCAGGGGUUCAAGGCCAGCAUGGGCAACAUAAUAAGACCCCCAUCU
rnacentral:sRNA from 1 species